rnacentral:rRNA from 1 species
UACGUAGGAGGCGAGCGUUGUCCGGAAUUACUGGGCGUAAAGAGCUCGUAGGCGGCUUGUCGCGUCGGAUGUGAAAGCCCGGGGCUUAACUCCGGGUCUGCAUUCGAUACGGGCAGGCUAGAGUUCGGUAGGGGAGAUCGGAAUUCCUGGUGUAGCGGUGAAAUGCGCAGAUAUCAGGAGGAACACCGGUGGCGAAGGCGGAUCUCUGGGCCGAUACUGACGCUGAGGAGCGAAAGCGUGGGGAGCGAACAGG